AACUAGCAAAGACACUUGCGUCGGGCUUUGUGCUACGCUGCGCCGGGUGCAACAUCAUAUUCAUUUUCACAUCCUAUGGUUUGCCUGAUCAGUGAGGUCCAGGGCUCUACCAACCUGCAGAGGCCUGAAGCCAAGGAACAGCUACCUCUGGGAUGAUAUCAGUACUUACAUCCUAUGAGCAUGACACAGAUGGAGAAGAUCUUCUCAGAGUUGGUGUUUGGGGACACGUUUCCAAAUCCCACACUGGUCAGGCUGCUGAAGGUGAAGUACAGAGCUGUGACGUACUUGUCUUUGAUGGAGGGUCCCGAACCUGGAGUGGAUAUUUAGAGUACCUAGGACGGAGCUGUUGUAGUGCUUUCCCAAUUGGUCCCCCAGCGUGUGGAGCCAGCCAAUUGAACCAUUCCUCUCGACGCUACCGAUGGCAUACCUGGGAAAGAUAAACAGUUACAACAUGAUUGGAUGUAUAUAAUUACUGAUGUCGGCAAUAAUUAGACCAAAGAUAGACUAAAUUAAUUUUCAAACACCUAAUAGUGCUGUCAAAAAGAAUUUAUUAUUUAUGUUAGACUGUUCCAAUACUCAUUUUCUGCAGUUUCAAUUUCUACAAUUUGACUGUGGUCAGAAAAAAUGAACUUGGUGCUUGAGAACACAGUACACCUCUAUAAAAAAACACGAGAAACUAUAUUUUUAAAGCAUUGUAUUGAAGUUGAGAAAAUCAAUACUGUGACUAGCACUAGCACCCAUAUGCUACCAGCUGUGAUGUAUGCAGUCACACAGAGGCAGGAUUAUUCCCACAUUACUCCUCUGUGAGUAGACAGUCUUAUGGCAUCGUACCAGAUGCAGGCCAGCCAGUGAGCGAUGAGGGCGAAGGUGCACAUGAGGAGGAAGAGGACAGCUGCGCCGUACUCCGAGUAGCGGUCCAGCUUCCUGGCUACACGCACCAAUCGCAGGAGACGAGCAGUUUUCAGCAGACCAAUAAGAGUGGUGGUCUGAUGGGAGAUGGAGAGACAGAGAAUAGGUAUUGGUAAUGAGAUAUGGUUAUUGUAAAACAUGGCAGAGAGCAAAGUCCCUUGGCUCUGAUGUCUCCUCACAGCUUUCCCACCUGCUGUCUCACACACACACACACACACACACACACACACGUGGGGCAGCCAUUGCCUUGUCUCGAUGGGACUCACUGUGGAGGUGGUAAAUCCUGACUUCCUUUCAUUACUGUGGACUGUCUACUCCCUCUUCUUACUACUUGUAUUCAGCUGCCCCCCCUUCGUGUCCAUACAACAAAUAAAGAACAGGACGCUUACUGCGCUGGCA